rnacentral:rRNA from 1 species
UACGUAGGCAGCAAGCGUUGUUCGGAGUUACUGGGCGUAAAGGGUGCGUAGGCGGCUUUUUAAGUUUGGUGUGAAAUCUCCCGGCUCAACUGGGAGGGUGCGCCGAAUACUGAGAGGCUAGAGUGUGGGAGAGGAAAGUGGAAUUCCUGGUGUAGCGGUGAAAUGCGUAGAUAUCAGGAGGAACACCUGUGGCGAAAGCGGCUCACUGGACCAUAACUGACGCUGAUGCACGAAAGCUAGGGGAGCAAACAGG